CAAAACUCCCCUGGCUCCACCCAACCUUAGGUUAAAAAGCCAAAGGUGAGCCUGGCUACUCACAGGUGCACAGACAUGGACAGGCUUACUUCCUCAUUCCUACUGCUGAUUUUCCCUGCAUAUGUCCUGUCCCAGGUUACUCUGAAAGAGUCUGGCCCUGGGAUAUUGCAGCCCUCCCAGACCCUCAGUCUGACUUGCUCUUUCUCUGGGUUUUCACUGAGCACUUCUGGUAUGGGUGUGGGCUGGGUUCGUCAGUCCUCAGAGAAGGGUCUGACGUGGCUGGCAAACAUUUGGUGGGAUAAUAGUAAGUACUACAACCCAUCCCUGAAGAGCCAGCUUACAAUCUCCAAGGACAACUCCAACAACCAAGUAUUCCUCCAGAUCACCAGUGUGGACACUGCAGAUACAGCCACAUACUACUGUGCUAAGAUACCACGUUGACACAGCCUCAGUUUUCAGCUGU